rnacentral:rRNA from 1 species
AGAGUUUGAUCAUGGCUCAGGACGAACGCUUGCGGCGUGCCUAAGAAAUGCAAGUCGAACGGACAGAGCAGCAAUGCUUUGUUAGUGGCGAACGGUCGCGUAACACGUAAGCAACCUGCCUCAAAGUGGGGGACAACAGGCCGAAAGGCCUGCUAAUACCGCAUGUGGUCACGUUUUCGCAUGGGGACUUGACUAAAGCCAGUUUCUGGCGCUUUGAGAUGGGCUUGCGGCCUAUCAGGUAGUUGGUGGGGUAAUGGCCUACCAAGCCGACGACGGGUAGCUGGUCUGAGAGGACGAUCAGCCGGAUUGGGACUGAGAUACGGCCCAGACUCCUACGGGGGGCAGCAAUUAGGAAUCUUGCACAAUGGGCGAAAGCCUGAUGCAGCGACGCCGCGUGCGGGACGAAGGCCUUCGGGUCGUAAACCGCUUUUUUAGGGGAAGAAGAAUGUGACGGUACCCUAAGAAUAAGCCCCGGCUAACUACGUGCCAGCCGCCGCGGUAAUUC